rnacentral:lncRNA from 1 species
UUUUUGUUGAUUUUGUUUUUCAUGUGGAACCCUAAAUCUUGGAUAAAAUCGGACUCCGAUCAUUCGUGAAACAACAGAAGUUAGUUAAAUGUUAUAGUUGUUUUCUUUUUUUAAGUUUGUGUAGAUUUGAUUUUAACCUUUCUGUUCGGUAUUUUUUUUUUCAAAAAUUAAAAACAUAUGUUCUGAAUGUUUUAUGGUUUGUUUUUCUAAUGGUAAACCCUCAAUCUUUUGUGACAAUUGGACUCGAAUUGUUCGUCGACUAAAACAGGUUAGUUCAUAUUCUUUGAUUUUUCAGUUAUCAUUUGUUCAAUUUAGCUUUAAAGAAACAUUUAAUUUCUUUUUAAAAUUUAUUUUUUUCCUAUAAAUAGACUAUUGUUUUUUAAGGUUAAUUUUUGAAAUUUGAAUUAUAAGUCUGUUUCUUUAAUUAGACAUUGUUUCUAUAAAUAUGUAACGGUUAUAUUUUUUUUUUUAAAAUUGCUUACUUCCUUUGCAGUUAUAUAUAUUUAUUUCUGAACCGAGUCUGUCCUCCAUAGUUUUUUUCUGAUGUGCGUAUUUCUGAUUCGAUAUUUUGUUCGAAUUAUGAUAGUUACUUAUGUAUUUUUUUUUUCAAUACGAAUGUUAGUUUUAUAUAUUUCUAUUAAAAAUACAACAAUUGAAUAUAUCUUACACACGAUAAAACAUAACAGUCAAAUUACCAAAUAAGUUGAUGUUUGAAUUUGUAUGUUGACUUAUUUCUAGAUGUAUAUCUUAUAUUUUUAUUAAAUAUCUAAUAUAAUUUUAGGAAACUUAUAAAUAUGUAUAAUAAUUAACAAAACAAUGAUAAUUUAUUUAUGUUAAAUUAUUUGGUCGAUUUUGUCUAUUCGUAAUUUCAAAAGUUUUGUAAAGUAAUAUUUUCAUUUAUAAUGCAAUAACAUAUCAAAGUUAUUUUAGAUAAAUUUGUUUCUUUGUUAAUUAACAAUCAUAUUUAAGUAAAAUGGAAACUACAAUAGAAUGACAAAUAAUUUUGAUGUAGAUAAUUUAUUUUUUUAUCAAAAUAUAUAUAAUAUUUGUUUUGUUAUAUGGUAUUACACUUUUAAUUAAUUAUUUAACGAUCAUUUGUUGAGUACUAAUAAAAAAAUCCUUAUUUUGAUUGUCACAGUUUUCUAUUUGCAAUUGAGGUUUUGUUUUGAUCAAAGUUGAGUUAUGCAGGUAAAUGGGGGAUAUCUACAAAUUUUGAUGGUACACGGCUUUUCAUUAACGACAAUUUUGAUCAGAUGCUGACAUUCAAGGAAAAGUUAGCAAAAUUUAUUAUUUUAAUUCUUCUAAUUGUAUCAACUAAAUUUUUAUUUAUAUUUUGUUGUUCAUUUUAGAUUAUGGUUUCAUUUAUAUUUUAACUACUAUCAGAAUCUUAAUACGCUUUCAUUUAUAUUUUAACUACUAUCAGAAUCUUAAUACAAUGUUGGGUCGAAGAUGCUGGAGAAUGAACUUAAGCGUAAUUUGGAUGCCGUUUAUGAUGUGGAUUUAUGUUCUUCUCAGUCUUCCACUAAACCGCGUAUGGGUGAUUGUGAGAACAAUGAAGGUUUGUAUUUGAAAGCAAAGCUGGAAAAGUAGUCUCAGGAUUUAAUAGUCAUUUCAGAUUUUUCAAAGAUUUUCUGAUGUUUUAUUUUGUUUAAUCUUUGUCGGAACAUUUAUUUCAGUACUUGAUGUUGGGUUUGAUAUUGAUUUUCGUUUAUUA